AUGAGGAUCUGGGCAGCUUGGUGUGUGGCCAUGUACUUCUUUGGAGCAAGAGCUAAAAUCACCCAAACUUCCAAUCUUGUUCUGAAAGAAGAUGAGAAAGCUACUCUGAUGUGCAGCCAAAAUGAUAAUCAUAAUUCUAUGUACUGGUAUUUGCAGCAGCCUGGGAAGGGGCUGCAACUGAUCUAUUAUUCACCUAGGACAAGUCAGGAGGAAGUGGGUGAUAUCCAAAAUGGAUACAAAGCUAAAAGAUUAAACCUUGAAGACUUCCAUUUGGAUAUUCCAUCUGUGAAGAUUAACCAUUCAGCUGUCUAUUUCUGUGCCAGUAGUUUGAACACAACACUUCAAAGUCACUUGCUUUCUUUACAUAAACUUCUUUUCAGCACCCUCCCUCAGAAGGGAGCAAUUCUCAGCAUUGGAUGA